rnacentral:rRNA from 1 species
AACGAACGCUGGCGGCAGGCCUAACACAUGCAAGUCGAACGUGAAGCCACCUUCGGGUGGUGGAAAGUGGCAGACGGGUGAGUAACGCGUGGGAACGUGCCUUUCGGUUCGGAAUAACCCAGGGAAACUUGGGCUAAUACCGGAUACGCCCUUCGGGGGAAAGAUUCAUCGCCGAAAGAUUGGCCCGCGUCGGAUUAGCUAGUUGGUAGGGUAAUGGCCUACCAAGGCGACGAUCCGUAGCUGGUCUGAGAGGAUGACCAGCCACACUGGGACUGAGACACGGCCCAGACUCCUACGGGAGGCAGCAGUGGGGAAUAUUGGACAAUGGGCGAAAGCCUGAUCCAGCCAUGCCGCGUGGGUGAAGAAGGCCCUAGGGUUGUAAACCCCUUUCAGCGGGGAAGAUAAUGACGGUACCCGCAGAAGAAGCCCCGGCUAACUCCGUGCCAGCAGCCGCAGUAAGAC